rnacentral:rRNA from 1 species
AGAGUUUGAUCAUGGCUCAGAAUCAACGCUGGCGGCAUGCCUAACACAUGCAAGUCGAGCGAGAAAGUGUAGCAAUACAUGAGUACAGCGGCGCACGGGUGAGUAACACGUGGAUAACCUGCCUCAAAGUGGGGAAUAACACCGGGAAACCGGUGCUAAUACCGCAUAUUCUGAUGAGAUCUGUGGAUUUUGUCAGUAAAGGAGCAAUUCGCUAUGAGAGGGGUCCGCGGCUGAUUAGCUAGUUGGUGAGGUAAUGGCUCACCAAGGCAACGAUCAGUAGCCGGUCUGAGAGGACGGUCGGCCACACUGGAACUGAGACACGGUCCAGACUCCUACGGGAGGCAGCAGUGGGGAAUUUUUCGCAAUGGGGGAAACCCUGACGAAGCAAUGCCGCGUGGAUGAUGAAGUAUUUCGGUACGUAAAAUCCUUUCGACGGGGACGAAACCGCAAGGUUGACGGUACCCGUAGAAGAAGCCCCGGCUAACUCCGUGCCAGCAGCCGCGGUAAUACGGGGGGGGCAAGCGUUGUUCGGAAUUACUGGGCGUAAAGGGUGCGUAGGCGGCUUUCUAAGUUGGAUGUGAAAACUCUGGGCUCAACCCAGAGACUGCAUCCAAAACUGGAGAGCUUGGGUUCUGGAGGGGAAAGCGGAAUUCCUGGUGUAGCGGUGAAAUGCGUAGAUAUCAGGAGGAACACCGGUGGCGAAGGCGGCUUUCUGGACAGAUACCGACGCUGAGGCACGAAAGCUAGGGGAGCAAACAGGAUUAGAUACCCUAGUAGUCC